rnacentral:pre_miRNA from 1 species
AGUUUUUUGAAUCCGUGCAGAGAUUUCGUCAGACAUCAACACAUUAGGGUUGAUGAGACUUUUAAGAUUAGUGAAGUU